rnacentral:misc_RNA from 1 species
UUUUGCGCCAUUUUCUGCCACGCACGACCCCUCUUUGGAACCAGCUACCACCUACGGUAUUUCCGAGCAAAUACGACCUAGGGACCUUCAAAAGAAGAGCAUAUUCCUUUUUGAAAGGCCGGCAACGCGCCUGCUAAUCCUUUGAUGUAGCGGGUGUUUGUGGAUGUUGUUUUCACUUACCAUCAGGUGAGCCAACUGUCCGUUUGCCCCCUCUUCUAUAAAAAAAAAAAAAAAAAAAAAAUUCUAUAUAUUAAAAAAAAAAAAAAAAAAAAAAAAAAAAAAAAAAAAAAAAAAAAAAAAAAAAAAAAAAAAAACACCCGUCUUAGCAAA